CGCGCCCGUAGCUCAGCUGGAUAGAGCGCCGCCCUCCGGAGGCGGAGGUCGCAGGUUCGAAUCCUGCCGGGCGCGU
rnacentral:tRNA from 1 species